UACAGAGGGGGCAAGCGUUGUUCGGAAUUACUGGGCGUAAAGGGCGCGUAGGCGGCCUGUUAAGUCGAACGUGAAAUCCCCGGGCUCAACCCGGGAACUGCGUCCGAUACUGGCAGGCUUGAAUUCGGGAGAGGGAUGUGGAAUUACAGGUGUAGCGGUGAAAUGCGUAGAUAUCUGGAGGAACACCGGUGGCGAAGGCGGCAUCCUGGACCGAUAUUGACGCUGAUGCGCGAAAGCCAGGGGAGCAAACGGG
rnacentral:rRNA from 1 species